AGUGAACGCUGGCGGUAGGCCUAACACAUGCAAGUCGAACGGCAGCACAGUAAGAGCUUGCGCUUACGGGUGGCGAGUGGCGGAUGGGUGAGGAAUACAUCCGAAUCUACUUUUUCGUGGGGGAUGACGUAGGGAAACUUACGCUAAUACCGCAUACGACCUACGGGUGAAAGCAGGGGAUCUUCGGACCUUGCGCGAUUCAAUGAGCCGAUGUCGGAUUAGCUAGUUGGUGGGGUAAAGGCCCACCAAGGCGACGAUCCGUAGCUGGUCUGAGAGGAUGAUCAGUCACACUGGAACUGAGACACGGUCCAGACUCCUACGGGAGGCAGCAGUGGGGAAUAUUGGACAAUGGGCGAAAGCCUGAUCCAGCCAUGCCGCGUGUGUGAAGAAGGUCUUCGGAUUGUAAAGCCCUUUUAGUUGGGAAGAAGAGCAGUAAGUUAAUACCUUGCUGUUUUGACGUUACCCACAGAAUAAGCACCGGCUAACUUCGUG
rnacentral:rRNA from 1 species